AAAAAAUAUUAUUAUUAUUAUUAUAGAUGGGCUUAAUUUUACCAAUUCAUUUAAAUAUUAUCAAUAUAUAAUCUCCUUUUUUAACUCAACAGUUUCUAGCACCUCUAACUUGUUAAUCAAGCACAUUAUAUAAACACUGGAUCAAGAAAAGCCGAGUAAAAAAGGAGAAGAUGGUGGAGGCUUAUGGUCAAUGACCAAUUGAUUGAAAAAUUACAAACAAAAGCUCAAGGUCCCCAAUCAUGCCGUUAGUGACACUCUAGUCGAUUUGUGCAAAAUUCAUACGUAAAAAGACACGCUAUAAAAAAAAUAAUUUUUUAGCAACGAAUUUAUGGAUCCAUGAAUAAUAAUAUGCCUUAGAGAUGAAUCAACAACAUAUCCAACUCUAAUCCAUUGCUAAUACUUUUUAUUGUGCUAAUUUUGAAAUUAGUAAAUUAAUAUUAGAUUUGUUUGUAGCUAAAACUCGUUACUAAUAUUGCUAUUCCAUAUUAUUAGCAAUAGAUUCAGUGAUGGAUCUGUAAAUCUAUCGCUAAUUGUUCUAUUUUUUUAGUGACAAAACUUAUGACUUUUUAAUGGAUGUAUAGAUAGAUUGAUCACAAUUUUGACAAAAAAAAAAUUUAUAUAUAUAUA
rnacentral:misc_RNA from 1 species